AUGUUAAUUAGGAAGAAAAUGCACCAACUUGAUGAACUCCUCUACCGCGAGGAGAUGCUUUGGCUGCAAAGGUCUCGGAUUACUUGGCUCAAGGAGGGGGAGCGUAAUACGGUGUAUCUGCACCGUCAGGCUGUGUGGCGAGCAUGCAGGAAUUAUAUACAGCGGCUGCGAAGGUUGGAUGGUUCGUGGAGUACCACGCCAUCGGACAUGGAGCUGAUGGCUACGCUGUACUUCAAAGAAGUGUACACAAAGGACCCUACUCUGAGAGUCCGCAAGUGUGCUGGAAGGAAUCAUGCCAAAGGUAACACAAGGUAUGAAUGA
rnacentral:rRNA from 1 species